rnacentral:misc_RNA from 1 species
GAAAAAAUUCAAUUUUGCAAUUAAGAGCUUGAAUAACGGAACUGAUAGAUAAAAGAUUAAUGGGAAAGUUGAGAAUAUGAAGAGCUGAAGUGAGAUACAUAUUGGGACUGUGUGUAACAAAACUUGUACCAGAAAUUGUUGUUAAGGAAUCGUCCGCUAUACAGGCUUUUUCUUUUCCUGAGUAUGAAGAAUAGGUAGAAAAUUUAUUUGA